UCUUUAAUACCAUUGAAAAUAAUUCUUUGAGUCCCUAUUCACUAGUGGAAAAGUUUAAAAUGAAAGUAUCCAGAAUAGAAGUACACGAAGGUCGUAUUGUCAUAUACGAGUUUCCCCUCCACCAUUAGAUGUCGCCUUUAAUAAUUUUAGAUGUACAAUACUGUUCAAAAGUAUUUUCACUUAGAAAAAAUGUUUCAGUGAUCUUCAUGUUGGUGUAAAACUGUGAUAUUAUGUCUCUCAAUGUGUUAGUUUCAAACCUUCUCCUCUUAACCCCAACAUUUGUAGUAACCAUUCAAUACACCCGUGUAUUUUUUGACUCGGUCAGUAGCACACUGUCACGUCAAGGGCGAGGACGGCAGGCGUCGUGGAGAAAUCAAAAGGGGCUUUAUUAAAGGUGACUACGAUACAGACAGGGCAAAUGAAACGGACCAGGAGGGGUCGAAACAGGCAGGAACACAGGGCACAUUCAGGAAGUAACAUCAAUGAUUGGACUCAACGAGGAGCGCAGGACUGAAGGACGCAGGGCACGCGACUGAGUGGACAAGAGGCAGCUGGGGUGAACCGCUCGAGGGCUGUAACGGGAGACUUUGAAGGCACCUGAGAGAGUGGUAGGCCUUAGCCAAUCUGCCGACGGUCCUGUCGUCUCCCAUCACCACGAUUCGGGCAGUGAAAGGCCGCUCGUCUUUGGGGAGAGGGGCACCGGUGGUGGCGUGCGGCUCCUCUAAGGACUCCCUCAUCAGCGCCAUCCUGUCCGACUGGGCUGGCUGUGGGCGGUUCCUCACACUCCUGGCUGUAAUUCAGUGAGCUUGCCCGGACGAAUUUAAUCACUGCUCCCCCUGUUGGUGAACAGAAAGAACACUUUAACCAGCACCAGUAAGUAUUAAAUCAAACCUUGUGACAGCAGCUCUAUGUAUGUGUGAAGAGACAUCUAAAAAUGGGGAGGGGCAACUGUCACAGG